UCCAUAUCGGUUGAUAGCACACACCGAUAAGAAGACAUCGGUACAUUCACGUAUCAUCUGGGCAUGCUCUUGGUCUCAUGAUAGUCAAUUUUUUGCUACAUCCUCCAGAGAUAAGAAGGUGAUUGUGUGGGGUAAGAAGAAAAGCGUGGAUGAGGACCAAGGUGACGCCGGUCCUCUUGGACAGUACGGAGCUUUGUCCAAGCCGCUGGACGUUGGUGAUUCUGCUACAGCUAUAGACUUUGCCAGACAACUCACAACAAAUGGAAGCUACAUCCUGGCUGUUGGUGUAGAAUCAGGAUCAAUAUCAGUCCAUUCAUGGCAUCCUUCCCAGCCAACUGC